rnacentral:rRNA from 1 species
UCGGCUGACGGCUCAGUAACACGCGGAUAAUCUGCCCUUGGGUGGAGAAUAAUCUCGGGAAACUGAGAAUAAUACUCCAUAAGUCUAGGAUGCUGGAAUGCACUUAGGCUAAAAGCUUCGGUGCCCAAGGAUGAGUCUGCGGACUAUCAGGUUGUAGUCAGGGUAAAGACCUGACUAGCCUACGACGGAUACGGGUUGUGAGAGCAAUAACCCGGAGAUGAUAUCUGAGACACGAUAUCAGGCCCUACGGGGCGCAGCAGGCGCGAAAACUUCGCAAUGUGCGAAAGCACGACGAGGGAAUCCCAAGUGCUGGCUCGUUAGAGUCAGCUGUUUUUAUGUCUAAAAAGCAUAGAGAGUAAGGGCUGGGUAAGACGGGUGCCAGCCGCCGCGGUAAUACCUGCAGCUCAAGUGGUGGCCGCUAUUAUUGGGCCUAAAACGUCCGUAGCCUGUUUAUUAAAUGCCUAGGUAAAUUGUGUGGCUUAACCAUACGAAUUCUGGGUAGACUGGUAAACUUGAGACCGGGAGAAGCUAGAGGUACUCCUGGGGUAGAGGUGAAAUUCUGUAAUCCUAGGGGACCACCAGUGGCGAAGGCGUCUAGCUAGAACGGGUUUGACGGUGAGGGACGAAGCCCUGGGGCGCAAACGGGAUUAGAUACCCCGGUAGUCCAGGGUGUAAACGCUGCUUGCUUGAUGUUGGUUGAGCUCCGAGCCCAAUCAGUGUCGGAGAGAAGUUGUUAAGCAAGCUGCCUGGGAAGUACGGUCGCAAGACUGAAACUUAAAGGAAUUGGCGGGGGAGCACCGCAACGGGAGGAGCGUGCGGUCUAAUUGGAUUCAACGCCGGAAAGCUCACCGGAGGAGACGGUUAUAUGAAGGCCAGGCUUAUGACCUUGCUUGAUUUUCCGAGAGGUGGUGCAUGGCCGUCGUCAGUUCGUACCGUAAGGCGUUCUGUUAAGUCAGACAACGAACAAGACCCUCAUCUUUAGUUGCAACUGGUAAGUCCGCUUAUCAGGCACACUAAAGAGACCGCUGGCGCUAAGUCAGAGGAAGGCGAGGGCAACGGUAGGUCAGUAUGCCCUGAAUCCUUCGGGCUACACGCGCGCUACAAAGGCCAGGACAAUGGGCUUCGACACCGAAAGGUGAAGGUAACCCCGAAACCUGGUCAUAGUUCGGAUCGAGGGUUG